GACGAACGUUGGCGGCGUGCCUAAUACAUGCAAGUAGAACGCUGAAGAGAGGAGCUUGCUCUUCUUGGAUGAGUUGCGAACGGGUGAGUAACGCGUAGGUAACCUGCCUUGUAGCGGGGGAUAACUAUUGGAAACGAUAGCUAAUACCGCAUAACAAUGGAUGACCCAUGUCAUUUAUUUGAAAGGGGCAAAUGCUCCACUACAAGAUGGACCUGCGUUGUAUUAGCUAGUAGGUGAGGUAACGGCUCACCUAGGCGACGAUACAUAGCCGACCUGAGAGGGUGAUCGGCCACACUGGGACUGAGACACGGCCCAGACUCCUACGGGAGGCAGCAGUAGGGAAUCUUCGGCAAUGGGGGCAACCCUGACCGAGCAACGCCGCGUGAGUGAAGAAGGUUUUCGGAUCGUAAAGCUCUGUUGUAAGUCAAGAACGAGUGUGAGAGUGGAAAGUUCACACUGUGACGGUAGCUUACCAGAAAGGGACGGCUAACUACGUGCCAGCAGCCGCGGUAAUACGUAGGUCCCGAGCGUUGUCCGGAUUUAUUGGGCGUAAAGCGAGCGCAGGCGGUUUGAUAAGUCUGAAGUUAAAGGCUGUGGCUCAACCAUAGUUCGCUUUGGAAACUGUCAAACUUGAGUGCAGAAGGGGAGAGUGGAAUUCCAUGUGUAGCGGUGAAAUGCGUAGAUAUAUGGAGGAACACCGGUGGCGAAAGCGGCUCUCUGGUCUGUAACUGACGCUGAGGCUCGAAAGCGUGGGGAGCGAACAGGAUUAGAUACCCUGGUAGUCCACGCCGUAAACGAUGAGUGCUAGGUGUUGGAUCCUUUCCGGGAUUCAGUGCCGCAGCUAACGCAUUAAGCACUCCGCCUGGGGAGUACGACCGCAAGGUUGAAACUCAAAGGAAUUGACGGGGGCCCGCACAAGCGGUGGAGCAUGUGGUUUAAUUCGAAGCAACGCGAAGAACCUUACCAGGUCUUGACAUCCCGAUGCUAUUUCUAGAGAUAGAAAGUUACUUCGGUACAUCGGUGACAGGUGGUGCAUGGUUGUCGUCAGCUCGUGUCGUGAGAUGUUGGGUUAAGUCCCGCAACGAGCGCAACCCCUAUUGUUAGUUGCCAUCAUUCAGUUGGGCACUCUAGCGAGACUGCCGGUAAUAAACCGGAGGAAGGUGGGGAUGACGUCAAAUCAUCAUGCCCCUUAUGACCUGGGCUACACACGUGCUACAAUGGUUGGUACAACGAGUUGCGAGUCGGUGACGGCAAGCUAAUCUCUUAAAGCCAAUCUCAGUUCGGAUUGUAGGCUGCAACUCGCCUACAUGAAGUCGGAAUCGCUAGUAAUCGCGGAUCAGCACGCCGCGGUGAAUACGUUCCCGGGCCU
rnacentral:rRNA from 1 species